GCUUGGCCGAAAAGAAACCCGUUGUCCAGUCCGCCCGUGGGAGCCCCAGAUUUCACACAUUGGCAAGCUGAGAGAUUUUCUUCUGGAACACAGGAAAGAUUAUAUUAACGCUUAUAGCCACACCAUGUCUGAAUACGGGCGAAUGACGGACACGGAGCGAGACCAGAUAGACCAGGAUGCUCAGACGUUCAUGAGGACCUGCUCAGAGGCCAUCCAGCAGCUGCGAGCCCAAGCCCACAAGGAGGUGCCUUCCCAGCAAGUGAAGGAGCACAGGAGUGCCGUUCUGGACUUCAUCGAAGAUUACUUAAAAAGAGUAUGUAAGCUCUACUCCGAACAGAGAGCCAUCCGAGUUAAGCGAGUGGUGGACAAGAAAAGACUAUCUAAGCUGGAACCAGAACCAAAUACAAAGGCAAGAGAAUCCAUGUCUCCUGAGAAAGUCUCACAGAGCCCUUCAAAAGACUCUGAAGAAAAACCUGCCACUGAAGAAAAGAUUCCGGCAGAAGCACAACCUGAAUUGGGAACGUGGGGAGAUGGCAAAGGUGAAGACGAACUGUCCCCAGAAGAAGUACAGAUGUUUGAGCAAGAAAACCAGCGCCUGAUCGGGGAGAUGAACAGCCUGUUUGACGAAGUGAGGCAAAUCGAAGGCAAAGUGGUUGAAAUUUCCAGACUCCAGGAGAUAUUCACAGAGAAGGUUUUACAACAGGAAGCCGAGAUUGACAGCAUCCACCAGCUGGUAGUAGGAGCCACCGAGAACAUCAAGGAGGGCAACGAAGACAUCAGGGAGGCCAUCAAGAACAACGCCGGCUUCCGCGUGUGGGUGCUCUUCUUCCUGGUGAUGUGCUCCUUCUCCCUGCUCUUCCUCGACUGGUACGACAGCUAGGCCGCCGCUCCUGCCAGACGGGAGCCCCAGCAUCGCAGCCACGCAGACUCUCGAUAGGGACACCUGGACCUGUGGGCUUGAGCCCAUUAGUAGCUGAAAAAGAAUCUACGCAAUUGAACGCGUCUGCGUGGUGGUCCUGCGGCCGGAAGCGGGGGGCAUUCCUACACCUGCGGGGCGCGGGGACGGCAGGCCUCUCCCCCGGCACCGCCGCCUUGGGCUCCACCCUCCCGGAGGCCGCAGGGAGACUGCUGGCCAGCAGCCCUGCUCGGCGGAGGACAUUUGUUUGCUGCGGCUUCUUGUCUGCCCGGGCAGCUGAUACGCAGCCUCGCUGUGCUGGAACCGACAGCCCACCCUUGCCUUGUUAGCCCAGGAGAUGCAGUUAGAGCACCGCCUGUGCCGCUGUGACGCUGUAAGGAACCUGCCCAUCUCGCUAAGCGGAUUUCUCGGCAGCCUCGGUCUCCUGCUCUGAGAGCUUCUCUUCCGACAGGACGGACAUCCAUGGCGACACCGAGCGGGUGAUGCUCUGCUUGGCCAGGUUGUAGUGGUUGAUGACGGUGUAAAACUUCUCCCGGGCGUUGGAGUCUUGCUCCACGUAGUAGCUCUCCAAGCCUUCUGGAAUGCACUGGGUGUUCUGAAAGACAAGGGGGCCGUGCAGGAGGGCGGCCUGGGAGUGUCCGGGUAACCCCCAGCCCCACGGUCACUGAGCCCCUCCCUGGGCCUGGGGGAGCCCCCGUGGCGAGCUGACCGCCUGCGGUGACCACACUGCAACAGGACGGCCCGAGGCCCAGGCGAUGGGACUUGGAGCAGGCCUUCCUGCUUCACUAAAGGACGACACCAGUCGUCCUUUAUUCUAAACUUACUGGAAAACAAUGGAACCUCUGGCACGUCUGCCAGAAGCAAGGGGUUGAGUUGGGAAGGGAGAGACGUCAGAAAGGCCCUGUGAGCUGGGCCAGCGCAGGCCGGGGUGGAGCACCUGGAGGCAGGGGACCCGGCCCCGGGCAGGAGGAUGCGGAACAGGCAGGGGACGGGGCUCAGGACACAACCUGCAAGGGCCCUAGAGAGUCGUGAGCGGGACUUGGAGCUCCCGGGAGCAGCAGAAGCCGUGAGGAUCCCUCGAGGGCCCCUGAGUGCAGGGCCCAUCCUGGGCAGCACCCUGGGGUGGGGGGGUCUGUCCCUGGCUCUCAUCAGCUUGUGGGGAGUCCAGGCCCCUCCCCCAAAAUGAGGCGGGCUUUCAUCGUCCAUCCAGGAGCCAGGCUAAACCACCUCUGCUGCACACAUCGCUGCCAGACCACAAGGACAGGGUGGCGGGGGCGACUCCCCCACUGCCCUGCUCCCACAAGUAAGCAGGCACGUGGCCCAGCCCUCCUGGCAGUCAGGUGAGGCCACGGGGCUAACGUGUGGCCACUGGGGUAGGGGAUUGGGGGUGUGACAAACUGGGAAGCCGCCCGCCCUCUACUGCCCCCCGACUCCCCCUCAGCGGCUCUGAUGGCAGAGACUGUCGGAGGGACAGCGCCCUGGGGGCAGGGGCGCGCAGCCCCGCUGGCCUCCGGCUGGGCCGACGGAGAGAGACCUUCCAUCUCACCGAAGCCCCGUUACCGGUGUCUCUAAGCAACCACAUCACUGCAGGAACACCAAGGUCCCUUGCUGCAGCUGGGACAGUCCCUAGCCGUGGCCACCUUCACAGUCCCCAGAAGAGCAUUAAACCCUCAGAAUCCCAGCCCCACCCACCAGGUCCACUCAGCGCCACCAAGCAUGUCUCUGCCACGGCCACCUCACCAGCCAGUGCGCACUGAGAUGCGGAUCCCGCUGCCCACAGCGCUCCUCUGCCUCCCUGGGCAACGCCACGUGGAGACCGUGACGGGGUCUGAGGGUCACAGGGGGGCUGGGGUGGCUGCUGCCCCGCGGACGUGGGCACCAGCCCGGGGUGCUCGGGGGAACCUCCUCUGGGAGCCUCGCCCUUGCCCCGCCCGCGUUGCCUCAGCUCAGCUCUGCCUCCCCACUGAGGGGCUACCCCAUGGGGUUGUCCUGCAGACCCAGGCCCCUCGCCAUGUCCCAGGUGACCGAGUGCCUUCCAGGCCCAUCCCCCCGUGAGCUGGGGUCUGUUAGCCCCACUUCACAGACGCAGCAAGUGAGUGAGACCACAGCUCUGCUCAGCACUCCGGACACCACCCGGGCACCCACGGAGCUCCUGCGACGGCCAAGCAGCAAAGGCAGACCCGUGAGAAACAGGCAACACCUCCCCCGGUCCGGCAGGUUCCAGUUCGGCCAUCUGGGCCCUGGGGAGGCCACACCCUGUCUGCAAGGUUGGCAUUGGGGGCGUGGGAGGAGCUGCUUCGGCUGGAACCCCGCAAACCUGGGGAACUCCAAGGCCCUCGUGAGGCCCUCUUUGAGCACCAGGCGGUCACAUCAUCCUCUGGCCUGAGGCCAUCCCAGUGCGAGUCCACCUGAUGCUACCUGGCUCCCACUACCUGGUGUCAGGAGCAGAGACACAGGGCUGAACAGGUAACAUGCGGAGAGGGAGAGAAGGGACCACGCCUUGGUCUAGAAAAGCUCCCAUCUGAGCCAACUUCGAGGCCUGACCGGGUGUGACCAGGGCUCCUGCUCCGUCUGUCGGUGGGCAAGCUUCCUCUCCACCCAGACAGUUCUCAGGUCCUCUCACGCACCCACGCCUCCCCCGACCACCCACCCCCACGAAGGACCGGUCUCCUUCUCGCCAGGCCACUGGCCCCGAAGCAUUAAGACCAGAAAACACCUGCCGGCCCCCCCGGGAGCAAAAGCUAUUUCCAGAAGAGAAGUGACAAUGGAGCGUGGGCUGUUUGCGGCCCAGCACUGCCCGGGACAGUGUCUCGGCAGGCUGGAGGAGCAGGCACUGCAGGAACAGCUCAGCUCUGGAGUCCAGCCCAGGUCACUUGCCCCCUGGGGCUCAGUUCCCUCGUCUAUGAAAUGAGGCAGAUGGGUCACCGCCUGGGUUGCCGUGAGGACUGGAGUCGCGCAGCCCAGCAGAUAGGAAAGCUGAAGAGCCAGAAGGGCACCGCGGUGGCACCUGCCCAUCAGCGACCCAUCCCAGCCACACGGGGAGGUCCGUCUACAAGACACCAGUUGCCCAGAUGUUACACCCUUUGGGGCCUGGGGCAGUUCCUGUCAGGUUUCAAACCCUUCUAUAUCACACAGGUUAAAAAAUAAAAACCCCAGAACCUAGGAACCUC